GGAUGAACGUUGGCGGUGUGCCUAAUACAUGCAAGUCGAACGGAGUUAAUAGCAAUAUUGACUUAGUGGCGAACGGGUGAGUAACGCGUUGGUGAUCUGCCUUGAAGUGUGGAAUAACGCUCCGAAAGGAGCGCUAAUACCGCAUGUGCUCUCAAUUUUUAGAAACUUGAGAGGAAAGGAUUUAUUCGCUUCGAGAGGAGCCUGCGUCCCAUCAGCUGGUUGGUAGGGUAAAGGCCUACCAAGGCAAUGACGGGUAGGGGACCUGAGAGGGUGGCCCCCCACAAUGGAACUGAAACACGGUCCAUACACCUACGGGUGGCAGCAGUAGGGAAUAUUAGAAAUGGACGAAAGUCUGAUCUAGCAACACCGCGUGUGCGAAGAAGGCCUUCGGGUCGUAAAGCACUUUUUGGAAGGAAUAGGAAGGAGUGUACUUCCAGAAUAAGUCUCGGCUAACUACGUGCCAGCAGCCGCGGUAACACGUAGGAGGCAAACGUUAUCCGGAUUUACUGGGCGUAAAGCGCGUGUAGGUGGUUCUGUAAGUAGGGCGUGAAAGCUCCCGGCUCAACUGGGAGAUGCCGUUCUAAACUGCAGAGCUAGAGGAUGGUAGAGGGAGGUGGAAUUCCCGGUGUAGUGGUGAAAUGCGUAGAUAUCGGGAGGAACACCAGUGGCGAAAGCGGCCUCCUGGGUCGCACCUGACGCUCAGACGCGAAAGCUAGGGGAGCGAACGGGAUUAGAAACCCCGGUAGUCCUAGCCGUAAACGAUGUAGACUUGGUGUCGGUGGGGUAAAAGCCAUCGGUGCCGAAGCAAACGCGAUAAGUCUACCGCCUGGGGACUACGGCCGCAAGGUUAAAACUCAAAGGAAUUGACGGGGGCCCGCACAAGCAGCGGAGCGUGUGGUUUAAUUCGAUGCUACGCGAAGAACCUUACCCGGGUUUGACAUACAGGUGGUAGGGAAUUGAAAGAGGACCGACCCUUCGGGGAGCCUGAACAGGUGCUGCAUGGCUGUCGUCAGCUCGUGUCGUGAGAUGUCCGGUUAAGUCCGGUAACGAGCGCAACCCCUGCCGUAUGUUACAAGUGUCAUACGGGACUGCCGGUAUCAAGCCGGAGGAAGGUGGGGAUGACGUCAAGUCAGCAUGGCCUUUAUGUCCGGGGCUACACACACGCUACAAUGGUCAGUACAAUAGGUUGCAAAGCCGCGAGGUGGAGCCAAUCCAUAAAGCUGGCCUCAGUUCAGAUUGCAGGCUGCAACUCGCCUGCAUGAAGUUGGAGUUGCUAGUAACCGCGCGUCAGCAUUAGUGCGGUGAAUACGUUCCCGGGCCU
rnacentral:rRNA from 1 species